UUUUCAAAUAUGAAUUUUAAUUUUUUCUGCUACCUCUUCUCAAAAGCCUUUAUCUUCCUUUCAUUCAAUCCGGAUGCCUUGCCCGAAAAUUCUUCAGUGCUUGAUGAACACAUUCUGGAAUUCCUCCUACUAGGAUCUCCCCCACCUCAUUUCGUACAAUCAGGCCCUUAGUCGAUCUAGAAGAUUGAUGGUCAAAGGCUACGUCAAAAUGAACUGUGACCCUUUCUCUUUGAUCAUCCUGUUGUAUAUUUCCAUCAGACUGAAGGAUUAAAUGUAACGCACCACGCCUGAAACCAUCGCCGGAGUCGAGCUUGAGAGGUUACCAAACAUAAUUUAUCAAAUUAAGAACUUCAAAUCAUUUGUUUCUACAUUCACAGUUUUUUAGUUACCCGCAUCAUAGUUACAAGAAAAAUCAUAUCUCGAGUUACGAAACUCGAAAUCAAGAUCUGUAAAUUUUCCCUAAAUCUAUACUCAUAUAUAUAUUUAAUAAUUUUUUUAUAGAA